rnacentral:rRNA from 1 species
GAUGAACGCUGGCGGCGUGCCUAAUACAUGCAAGUCGAGCGAACGGACGAGAAGCUUGCUUCUCUGAUGUUAGCGGCGGACGGGUGAGUAACACGUGGAUAACCUACCUAUAAGACUGGGAUAACUUCGGGAAACCGGAGCUUAUACCGGAUAAUAUUUUGAACCGCAUGGUUCAAAAGUGAAAGACGGUCUUCCUGUCACUUAUCGAUUGAUCCGCUCUGCAUUAGCUAGUUUGUAAGGUAACGACUUACCAAGGCAACGAUGCAUAGCCGACCUGAGAGGAUGAUCGGCCACACUGGAACUGAGACACGGUCCAGACUCCUACGGGAGGCAGCAGUAGGGAAUCUUCCGCAAUGGGCGAAAGCCUGACGGAGCAACGCCGCGUGAGUGAUGAAGGUCUUCGGAUCGUAAAACUCUGUUAUUAGGGAAGAACACAUGUGUAAGUAACUGUGCACAGCUUGACGGUACCUAAACAGAAAGCCACGGCUAACUACGUG